UUAACUAACCCAAAAAAGUCUUAUUCUUUUACCAUAUCAACGGACUAUUCUAUUGCAUACGAUCCAAGUUAUGAUAUAAAAUUAUAAAAAAGAAAAAAUUGAGGGAAAACAAAAAGAAGAAGAUAUUUCAUGAGAAAUUGUGUGGUAAAAUCCUUCAAAAAUUGUAUAUAAAGGAGACCCUGCAACCUUCUUUUUUCGACACUCAACUCAACCCUACAAAAAUACCGUAGCUAAUUCCACAAUGAAAACUUCGUUGCUUAUUGUCCAACUAGUUGCGAUCAUUUCACUCCUCAUUUUUAUACUGACGAAAUCUGAUGAUGGAAGGGGCUGCAGGGACUCCCCCUGUACCCCUGUUCCUCCAUGAGGUUCAUCUACAUGCGUUUCCGUAAGAUGCUCAACUAGUAAAAUUCAUGUGUUAGUAUCGAAUAUGUUUAAAGUUUAAUUUUUUUUUUAUGCAUUUUGAGUUUUUUGCCAACAGUAUUUUGAGCCUCUUUAGAAGCUGAUUCCAUAUCGAUGUUCGAAAAUAUGAUAAACGGUGUGUAUGAUGCUCAAGUUUAUGUUAUUUAAAUUGAAGUCCAAGUCUUAAAUAUAAAUAUAUAUUUGGUGAAUAAUAUAGAUAUAUAUUUUGUAUGCAAGUAAUUUAACCCUUUUUUUUAGCUAAUUUUUUCAAUGUAUUUUGACUUUUGAGCCUUUUAAAAAAUAAAAGAUUUUUUCCUUACAAAUCAGAUUUUUCC
rnacentral:lncRNA from 1 species